UAAAGUUGCAUUGGCUGGGGAAAUGAAUACAUCACUGAUUUUCUAGCAUGGGUCAUUUAACAGCAUGAAGCACAGAAAUAAGAUAGCCCCAGAAGAGGUGCAGUCACCUUUUCUGCUCUGCUCUGGUGAAAGCCUGUACAACUGACACAAAGAUUGGGAGCUAAGAAGGAAAUAUUGAAGAUGCUGUGGCAUUUCAGUAGUUGGACAAGGAUCUAUGAAGGCUUGGAGAAGGGGACAGUGCAAUGUUGUUCAACCUGGCAGAGAUGGCCAAAGUUGCACUCACUUCCUAUGGAAGAGUAGCAGCUAUGUUAGUCUGUAUCCACAAAAAGAAAAGGAGGACUUGUGUCACCUUAGAGACUAACCAAUUUAUUUGAGCACAAGCUACAGCUUACUUCAUCGGAAUCCUCCAGCUACGACACAUACAUGGAAAGUUCUAUAGCUAAUGGAAUACAGAAAUAUCUCACCUAAUUUGAUAUGGAAAGUAGAUGGCAGUCCAUAAGAAAUGGUAAUAAUAAAGUAAUUUUUCGUGCAUCUGAUCAUAAAGAAUGUGCUUGUAUAGCAGUUUUUACCUGAUGAUCUCACAAGGAUGUACAAGCAAUUAUUUAAGCCUUGGGACACCUCUGUAAAAUGGACAAGUAAUACUUUAGUCAAGUUGCAUUUUCAUGAUUAUUAUACUCAUCUUUGCACGUCUAAAUAUGAGAAGCGUGGUCACAAAAAGCAAGUCAUUGAACCAAGGAGUUCUGAUUGCCUGUCCCUGGGUUUAACCACUAGCCCAUUAACCACAUUUGAUAGACAUUAACAAAAGCAUCAAAAAAUAAUGCACUCUAAAUCCUGCAAAGUUAGGCCAUUACUGUGACAUUUUGGGUGAUGGUUUUUCUUAGUGUCUUAUUAAAUGCAAUUUGGUGGUUGCAUGUAAGUUGGUUUGUUUUUUUCAAGAGGCUCAACUUGGCAGCAUUUCAGAUGCCUGGCUGGUAAGUGCUAAACCCAUUUAUUAUUUUAUUCAACUGAAAGCUUCCAGUGUCCCCUAGAAGCUGAUGUUAAGUGAGGUAACAGUAGAGCUGGACUGACUGUUCUGAUGUAAUAGUAAGAUCAUUAUUUUUUUAUUUUUCAAGUGCUAGCAGCCCUCAAAGAAGUAAGCAAAGACAGCCUAAGAAGCUUCCAGUUGAAAGCCCCAAUCUUGCAAUGUAUUCAUGUGGGUGGAACCCAGUGUGAAUGGGUGACGGGGAUGUGCUGACAUUUGAACACUAAAUAGGGCUCACAAAUAAAUACA